CAAGUCGAGCGCGAAAGGCUUUCGGGCUGAGUAGAGCGGCGGACGGGUGAGUAACGCAUAGGAAUCUACCUGGUAGUGGGGGACAACUUGGGGAAACUCAAGCUAAUACCGCAUACGCCCUAUGGGGGAAAGCGGGGGACCUUCGGGCCUCGCGCUAUCAGAUGAGCCUGCGUAGGAUUAGCUUGUUGGUGAGGUAAAGGCUCACCAAGGCGACGAUCCUUAGCUGGUCUGAGAGGAUGAUCAGCCACACUGGGACUAAGACACGGCCCAGACUCCUACGGGAGGCAGCAGUGGGGAAUAUUGCGCAAUGGGGGCAACCCUGACGCAGCCAUGCCGCGUGUGUGAAGAAGGCCUUCGGGUUGUAAAGCACUUUAAGUGGGGAGAAAAGGGUAGCGGUUAAUAGCCGUUACCUGUGAUGUUACCCACAGAAUAAGCACCGGCUAACUCCGUGCCAGCAGCCGCGGUAAUACGGAGGGUGCGAGCGUUAAUCGGAAUUACUGGGCGUAAAGCGCGCGUAGGCGGUUUGUUAAGUCAGCUGUGAAAGCCCCGGGCUCAACCUGGGACUGCAGUUGAUACUGGCCGACUAGAGUACGAGAGAGGGAGGUAGAGUUCCAUGUGUAGCGGUGAAAUGCGUAGAUAUAUGGAGGAAUACCGGUGGCGAAGGCGGCCUCCUGGCUCGAUACUGACGCUGAGGUGCGAAAGCGUGGGGAUCAAACAGGAUUAGAUACCCUGGUAGUCCACGCCGUAAACGAUGUCUACUAGCCGUUGGGAGACUUGAUUUCUUAGUGGCGCAGCUAACGCAAUAAGUAGACCGCCUGGGGAGUACGGCCGCAAGGUUAAAACUCAAAUGAAUUGACGGGGGCCCGCACAAGCGGUGGAGCAUGUGGUUUAAUUCGAUGCAACGCGAAGAACCUUACCAGGUCUUGACAUCCAGAGAACUUGGCAGAGAUGCCUUGGUGCCUUCGGGAGCUCUGAGACAGGUGCUGCAUGGCUGUCGUCAGCUCGUGUCGUGAGAUGUUGGGUUAAGUCCCGUAACGAGCGCAACCCUUGUCCUUAGUUGCCAGCACGUAAUGGUGGGAACUCUAAGGAGACUGCCGGUGACAAACCGGAGGAAGGUGGGGACGACGUCAAGUCAUCAUGGCCCUUACGACCUGGGCUACACACGUGCUACAAUGGAACGCACAGAGGGCAGCAAAGGCGCGAGCUGGAGCCAAUCCCACAAAACGUUUCGUAGUCCGGAUCGGAGUCUGCAACUCGACUCCGUGAAGUCGGAAUCGCUAGUAAUCGUGGAUCAGAAUGCCACGGUGAAUACGUUCCCGGGCCUUGUACACACCGCCCGUCACACCAUGGGAGUGGGUUGCUCCAGAAGUGGUUAGCCUAACCUUCGGGGGGCGAUCACCACGGAGUGGUUCAUGACUGGGGUG
rnacentral:rRNA from 1 species